CGAAAGCCUGACGGAGCAAUACCGCGUGAGGGAGGAAGGCUUUUGGGUUGUAAACCUCUUUUGUUAAGGAAGAAGAAAGUGACGGUACUUAACGAAUCAGCAUCGGCUAACUCCGUGCCAGCAGCCGCGGUAAUACGGAGGAUGCAAGCGUUAUCCGGAAUCAUUGGGCGUAAAGCGUCCGCAGGUGGUCAGUCAAGUCUACUGUUAAAGACAGAAGCUCAACUUCUGAAUGGCGGUGGAAACUGGUUGACUAGAGUAUGGUAGGGGUUGAGGGAAUUCCCAGUGUAGCGGUGAAAUGCGUAGAGAUUGGGAAGAACACCAGUGGCGAAGGCGCUCGACUGGGCCGUAACUGACACUCAGGGACGAAAGCUAGGGUAGCG
rnacentral:rRNA from 1 species